rnacentral:lncRNA from 1 species
GAGUAACAAGCAAAGAACUCUCACUUGAUCCAAACAAGGCUCUAGAGAGUGGUGGAUGCACACUUAAACUCAUGGAACUCACUAGAGAAGGAUUUACUCAAGAAAUCACUCAAUUCUCAAUCCUCUCUAGGCUCUUGCUUCUCUCUUGCACCACAAGGUGUUUCUCAGCUGAUCAAAUGGGCAAGAGAUCUCCCAUGGAUG